CUCUCUAGGCCUUCAGUGUUGCCGGGGCAUCUGUGCCCAAGCCUGGGCUGUUUACUGUCCUCCUGUCACCUCGCAUGGAUUCUGUCUGCAGAGCUUGCUGCGGGGCCAAAGGCGAAGGAGGAGGGAUUUGCCACUGGAAAAUGUGGAAACCCAGUUGGGAGACAAAUUACUGUUUAGGAUGGAAAUUAUUUCCAGAUUGUUGAGUCUUCCCUCAGGUAAAACAGUGUGAGGAGGAGGUGUGUGCACCCUCCAGCCCGUGUGUGGAGCUGCCAAAGCCUCUCACUCAGGCCGCGGGUGAGCCCAGAGCUUACGUGGAGCAGUUGGCUGGCCAGGAGGCCCCCAGCCUCCAAGAGGUACCUGGUCUCUUCUCUGAUCCUCACUGGGGAUGUGAUUUGGGUGGUGGUUUGUUCUGCACCCCGUUGAGCAUGUUCUCAUGUGUCUGCAUUUUGGUUGAUGAAGUCCUUCUGAGUCCUGUUCAGUGCCAUUUCCCCUGAGAUUA